AGGUCCUCUUGGAAACUAUUUAAAAUAUAACCAAAAUUUUGGAAGAGCUGAACUGGAACUGUUGGUGCUCUUGGAACUACAAUGGGAUGUCCGGUUGAGAAGUCAAGCUAGCUCCUGUGAAGGCUUGAUCAUGUACAUGAAUGUGGCUCAUGCAUGCCAUACUUUGCUUGAGUGUACAUCCGUUCAAUGUUGUCAAUCACCACGUAGCCAAAGAUCGAGGACCUUAUCGAUCUAGUUGAUAUAUUAAAACCUUUGGAGAAGUCUGGAUUUUGGCAAGCGGUGAAAGCUUCAAAAUGGUACGAGAGGAAAGAGGUUGUUGCUGAACUAGCCGAAGUUGCUUCAACCAAAAAGAUUUCUCUUGGAGAUUUUUUCAGAAAGUUUGUCAUACACUAAAGAAGGUUAUCCCGAAUUUAAAUGUUACUGAAGGUAGGAAAAAAAAGGAAAAAACAUUAUUGUUGCAGCUGAAGCUAUUCAAGCGCUGGGCAACCUUCCUAAGUGUAUAAGACCCCUUCCUAAAAAAAAGAGAAAAAAGAAAAAAAAAUGAAAAAAAAGAAUUAAAAGAAUUAAAAGGAAAAAAA